UGUCAAUUACAAGUGCUUCAGUUGAGAGGUCAUUUUCUUGUUUGAAGAGGGUAAAAAAUUAUCUUAGAAAUACUAUGAGCCAAGGACGUUUUAGUUCUCUUUGCAGGAUUUCCAUUCACAAAGACAUACUGUCAGAGAAAGAAGACGCCAACACAUUGCAUGAUGAGGUAUUCAUAUAUGGCUGAUAGCAAGCUGAUGAUGUCUUACGUCCAUGCCAUGUGAGAAUUUUUCCGGGAACUUUUUAAUGCAGUCAAUGAUGAUUGUCAUUUCAGCACGACAAUUUCAUCACAACUUUUGAUAGUUGUUGAUGACAAAUCUGAGCCUUUUUCGGUUCUUUUGUCAAAGUUUCUUUACAAGAUGUACAUAGGUAUCUAUUUAUGUAU